CCUACAGUGGAAAGGAUUAUAUAUCUAAAUAUUGAUGCAAGAUUUAUUUUCCUUGGGUGUGAAAGAUGACAUCUUUUAAAUGGCAUCCAAUUUCCAAUUUGCAUAAAUGUGCUCUUUUUAAGGUGUUUUCCAUAACAGCCCUUAACAUUUGUGGCUCCGGUGAUCUGAUUUCUGUUCUAAUGUCCUUUUUAAGAUCUGCUAUUGUUUGAGGCUUGUUGACAUAAACUUUUUCCUUAAGAUUGCCCCAUAGCAAAAAGUCUGGAGCAGUUAGAUCUGGAAAAUGA